UUAAGAGGCUGUCCAAGUAAAUAUCAGGCAAAUCCUAUGAAAUGGGUGGCACAACAUAAUUUUUUUCCCACUGAAUUUUUGGUUCCAAUGCAAUGUUUAUAUCAUACAAAGGAUAUAUAUGUCAAAGAUAUUUUUGAAUCAACAGUGGAUGGCUCAGAAAAUGAUAUGAAAGUUCACUAACAACGCAACAAAAUUUUGUACAAAAUAAAGAGUUAUCUCCCCUUUUCAAUGAAU
rnacentral:lncRNA from 1 species